rnacentral:tRNA from 1 species
GGUCUGGUGGUGUAGUUGGUUAUCACGUCAGUCUAACAGCUUGAGGUCGUCUCACGAUUGCCUCACUGCACACUGAAGGUCUCCGGUUCAAGUCCGGGCUAGAUCA